rnacentral:rRNA from 1 species
CCCUUAGAUGUUCUGGGCCGCACGCGCGCUACACUGAUGCAUUCAACGAGUCUAAAACCUGCUCUGAUAGGGGUGGGUAAUCUUUUGAAUGUGCAUCGUGAUUGGGAUAGACUAUUGCAAUUAUUGGUCUUCAACGAGGAAUUCCUAGUAGACGUAGUUCAUCAGACUGCAUCGAUUACGUCCCUGCCCUUUGUACACACCGCCCGUCGCUCCUACCGAUUGGAUGAUCCGGUGAGCUAUUCGGACCUUCGCUUCGUCGAUUUUCGGCUUUGUGAGGGAAAGUCUCGCGAACCUUAUCAUCUAGAGGAAGGAGAAGUCGUAACA